GAGUUUGAUCCUGGCUCAGGAUGAACGCUGGCGGCGUGCCUAACACAUGCAAGUCGAACGAAGCGUGCGGAUGGAAUUUCUUCGGAGAGGAAGCCUGCAUGACUGAGUGGCGGACGGGUGAGUAACGCGUGGGCAACCUGCCCUGCACAGGGGGACAACAGCCGGAAACGGCUGCUAAUACCGCAUAAGCGCACAGCUUCGCAUGGAGCGGUGUGAAAAGCUGCGGCGGUGCAGGAUGGGCCCGCGUCUGAUUAGCUGGUUGGCGGGGCAACGGCCCACCAAGGCGACGAUCAGUAGCCGGCCUGAGAGGGUGGACGGCCACAUUGGGACUGAGACACGGCCCAGACUCCUACGGGAGGCAGCAGUGGGGAAUAUUGCACAAUGGGGGAAACCCUGAUGCAGCGACGCCGCGUGAGCGAAGAAGUAUUUCGGUAUGUAAAGCUCUAUCAGCAGGGAAGAAAUUGACGGUACCUGAGUAAGAAGCUCCGGCUAAAUACGUGCCAGCAGCCGCGGUAAUACGUAUGGAGCAAGCGUUAUCCGGAUUUACUGGGUGUAAAGGGAGCGUAGGCGGCCUGCCAAGUCUGAUGUGAAAUACCGGGGCUCAACCCCGGGGCUGCAUUGGAAACUGGCAGGCUGGAGUGUCGGAGAGGCAGGCGGAAUUCCUAGUGUAGCGGUGAAAUGCG
rnacentral:rRNA from 1 species